ACGCCGCGUGGAUGGAAGAAGGCCGAAAGGUUGUAAAAUCCUUUUGCUGAUGAAGAAUAAGUGUGGGAGGGAAUGCCGUAUGAUGACAUGAUCGAGUCGAAUAAGCCCCGGCCAACUACGUGCCAGCAGCCGCGGUAAUA
rnacentral:rRNA from 1 species